GAUAUGUGAGGUAUUUUUCAGCAUGCGGAUGGAUCUCUACCUAAAAACGGACAGUGUAUGAGUUUGUUUUUUUUUCACUUCCAUGUACAGCUCAUUCGUGUAAUGUAUCUCCUUACGUGGUAGAAGGAGAAUAAAACAAGACUGUUUUGUAAGUUUCUGGUGUGAUUUUGUGUGUGCGCGCAUGCGUUUUAGUGAAAGGAGUCGAUGCCCUCCCUGUUAACCAGGCAAACACUGCAGCCCACUGUUCCCCUUGAAUGGACAUUUAGAGGGGGUGUAUGUCAUCACACACAGGGGUAGGGUGGGGGCUUUUUGCCAAAGGUCCAGCUCACACAAAUGGUCUGGCUACGACAUCCCUGAUUGUGUCGACAUAUUUCAGGUUUUUCACAUUUAACCCAUCCGGUGCCACAUAAAAGCUGCAUGUGAGAUGAGAGAGGACGAAAGAGAGCACUGACUCAUGAAGCCAUCAAAGCGGUUUUUAAAGGCUUAACCAGACUAUACUGUUUCCGUUAAACUCAAUGCUUUGUUUCCACACUUUCUUGCCAAGUCAAACCUUGCAUCUUUUGCCAGAUGUUCCCGUUGCUGAACUAUCUAACAGACAACUGCUAAGUGUCCAGACUCACUUUUACUCACAGAGGCCCAAGGUGUAGCCAAGUCAAACAGUAUUUAAAACAAGAUUAUUCUGAACUUCUGAGUCAUGCAAAGCUACUUUAGCAGGCUCAGACUAAAUGUAUCAAGCUUGAGACACGUUCAUAAACAAAAAUAUCUCCCCAUGAACCAAACCCUUCAAAAUGAUGAUUGUUGGAUCAACUGCAGGGUCAAAAAGCUCAAAAUUUAUACCAGUUGCGUUAUUGGCUCAGAUGUUGGACGCAGAAUUAAUUUUAAUUCCUGAGAGAAAAAGAACACAAACCAAAGCCAAAUAGUAAGACAUUAGUAUGAAUAGCAGAGGCAAGAUUUAUGAUUUUUUUAAAAAAACAUUUUUAAAAACUCAUUUUGUUAUUUUUAGUUAACAAAAAUCUCCACACCUCGUAUUGACUCUGUCCUGGACAAACAAACAGCCUGCUUAAAUCCACCUUUUGGUUUCCUGUUGUGAAGUCAGCGGGCCUGCUCAGCUGACCCUCUGUGAACCUCUGCUUGAACAGUACACCUGGGGAUGAGAGAGAGAGAGGGUGACAGGUGGCUGGUCAGAGCGGUGUCGCGCGCCACAGAUGCUCCCGACCAGCUUUCAAACGCGCGCGAGCGUGCUCGAGCCUUUUACGUGCACGCGAGAUUAGGCUGCUCGCAGGACGAAGCCGGUGAGAAUGUGUGAGCGCUCGUCUUCGGCCGCCGGAGCCCCGGGAAGAUGUCGGUGAUGACUCCGUACCGGGAAACCCGUAGCUAACGGCUGCUACUCCUGCGACCAUUGGAUGUUGUUUUUAAAACUUUUCCUUAGGACGGUUGUUUUUGCGGUGUGGGGAUAAAAAAAAACACCACCCGGAGGGACAGGUGUCACCCCCCCCUUCUCCCUCCAGUUUUGUGUUUCCUUUCCCCCUCAUACUUUUUUUUUUUUUUUGGAAACCGAGUGGGACCUUGGGGAGCCAUGCUGUGGACACGCUGGCUCGUGCUGCUGCUCUGCUGGGGGGCCACAGGCAGCGAGCAGCAGGCGGAUGAGAGGGGCGCGGUACCGGCUGAGGUCCGGUCGGACUCCCGCAGAGAGCGCUCACCUCCGCCGGUGGAGCCGCUGGAUUUUGGGUUUGUACCCGCGGCGGUUUACGACACCCACGCUUAUUACGAGCCAGGGAGCAUGGGGAUCCUCUUCCAUAUGGUCCACGCGUUUCUCUACAUCAUUCAGCCGAACCCCUUUCCCAAAGAUCUCAUUGUCAAAGUCAUUCAGCAAAACAUGGGUGGAAUCAAAAUAGAGGAAUGGAGAAAGCCAGAAAACGUCGUCUUGUUGCUGCAGUGGAUCCAGUACGAGUCCGGAUUUCUCAUAUGUGCAACCUUCGGCGUCGUGUUUGUGGUCCUUAUCCCCGUCAUAGCUAUGUGCUUCUGCAUGUGUCGAUGCUGUGAUAACUGUGGAGGGGAGAUGCAUCAGAGACAGAGGAAAAAUGCAGACUGUCACAGAGGUUUCUAUACCGCCUCGCUGGUUGCUACAACCAUCUUCAUCAUUGUGGGUGUUCUCAUUGCUCUCGCCGCAAACCACAACAUCAGCUCACAGGUCAAAAGCACUCGGCGGCUCAUUAACACCAACAUGAGAGACCUGAAGACGUUCGCUAACAACACGCCUGCACAAGUCGAUUACCUGACAGCCCAGUACACCACAGCCAAGAACAAAGUCCUGUCAGACCUCGACAACAUUGGCCCUUUGCUGGGGGGUAGGAUCCACAUUCAGCUGGAGAAAUCAGUGAUUCCUUCGCUGGACACCGCCCUGCGUAUGGCAGGAGCAAAAGUUGAGAGUGCCAUCAAAGCUAUGCGGGAGACCAAAGAGGCCCUGGAGAACAUCAGCUCGUCCUUGGAGGUGCUGCAGGAUGGGGUGGGGAAGCUUCAGGCCAGCCUGUCAGGAGAGCGCGCCUCUCUGUCCAACACCCUGUCCGACCCCGCCUGCACGAACGGAGCUGUGUCACAUACCUGUAACACCAUCCGCUCCACACUGUCCCAGCUGGGAAUCAAUGCUGACUUCUCCAAGAUCCCAGAUGUUAAUCAUGCCUUGGCCAAUGUCAAUACUGUCCUGAAAACAGAUCUCAGCAACAUUGUACAAAAGGGUUACGCAUCCUUUAACGACACGCCAAGACUGGUUAAAGAGCAAACAAAAAACAUUGUUGCAGCUCUGCCUCGAGUAAAGGGGAUGCUGGAUAAGAUCGGUGCAGAGAUCACCGGCUUCUCCAAGAUGUUCCCUGUGGAAGCUUCUCUGGCAAAUUUCACCAUUUUCCUAAAUGAAAGACACAAAGCUAUUGAGUCCUAUUACCCCCAAAUCGAUCAGAUGGAUUUUUACAGGUGGAUCGCCUGCGUGGCGGUGCUCUGCAUGGUCGUCUUGGUGAUGGCCUUUAACAUCCUCGGCCUGCUGUGUGGUAACUGUGGCUACGACAAGCAAGCUAGCCCGACCACCCGCGGCUGCCUGUCGAACACUGGGGGAAACCUGCUGAUGGCUGGUGUUGGCUUCUCGUUUAUCUUUGCCUGGGUGCUGAUGGUCAUCGUUACCACCCUGUUUGUUGUCGGGGGCAAUGUGGGAAAGCUGAUAUGUGAACCUCUGGCUAACAGACAACUGUUUAAGAUCAUUGAUACGCCGUUCCUGGUCCAUCCUGAAAAGAGGAACUUCCUUCCUGGGAUGCUUUUCCAGAAUCCAAAUAUUGAUUUAACUCUAGGCGGCAUGUACAGGGAGUGCUAUGACAACAACGGUCUGUAUCACGCUCUGCAGUUGGAGACCAUGUUCAACAUUAACUCCUUCCUCAACAGAACAGUGUACAACAGGGACCUGGCCAAAGUGUUUGAUAGUGUGCAGGUGGACCUGCAGGGCAUCACGCUGCUGGAGCAGGUUGGCAGAGACAACCUCAUCAACUUUGCCAACUCUGGAAUUGGACAGAUUGACUUUCAGGUUUAUCUCACUGAGGUAAAUAAAGGAGUCACUCUAAUAGAUCUGCUGUCCUUCUGUAGCGACCUGGAGGGUCAGGCUGACCAGCUGCCACGUGGUGCUCUGGAGAACGCACUGAGAGGCCAUGCCAGCAGCAUUAGAUUCAUUCACCGAGAACAGGUGGUGCCACUGGAGCAAGCAAUGAAAUAUGUCAGAGCACGGAGUACGCUGCACCAGAGUGUCAAACAGCUACAGAAGACAUCCAACGACCUGCCAGUCAAAGUCACAAAUGUCCUGAGUGCCAUUGAUGCAGCAGAGUACCUCAUCGCUCAUAAUGCCUCCCAUGUGGUGAAGCAGGAAACAAAGGCGUAUGUGCAGGGCUUGGUGGGAUACUUCAAACAGUACACAGAAUGGGUUAAAAACUCUCUAACUACAGAGGUGGCCCAGUGUAAACCCAUCAGCAACAUUGUGGACAGUAUGGAAAUAGUAGGAUGCAGCUUCAUAAUCGACUCACUGAACACAUUCUGGUUUGGUCUCGGCAGCUGCUGCAUCCUGCUCAUCCCCAGCAUCAUCUUCUCUGUCAAACUGGCCAAGUAUUACAGAAGGAUGGACACAGAGGACGUCUUUGAAGAUAUGGCUAAUACAGGUAAUCACGGUGAACAGGUGUGUGAUAUCCAUGGAAACCUUGCCAUCAGCUCUCCCUAUUCUGACACUCUGACUCGGUUCCCUCGGGCCUCUGCCCCCCCGAGCUACUCAGUCUGGUGACCCACUGGAACUCUCUCCCUGCUGAUGAGGUAUUGACGAUCACUGAUGACUCCACUAACCCUUACAGCUACGCUAACAACCAGCCAUUGGACAGGAGAACUGGAACUGAUCUUCCCUUUGUGGAUCACUGGGCUGUUUAGGCUUCCGAUUCAGAUCUUUUAACACUUCCAAGGACAAAAGGGAAGAACAAUCGUGAACUCUGGGAUGAAGGCAUCUUUCAGUAGUCCUUCAGGCCAUUUGACAAAACCACUAAUGCCAGCAAAAUCCUAUGAAGUGUUUUCUCGACCCCUUUACCAUUUUAUUAUGUACACCAACAGCUGCAUAUUUAGCUGCAUAGAGAAUCAAUUUGUACUUACAUAAUCAGUUUUAAACAAGGCAACACAAGUGUACAGUUUUUACACUUUCAAGUCUUUUGAAAGUUUUAUAUAUUUUUUGUUAAACUUUGUUUUAUAACAUGUAAGUAGGUUUGUAGUAAUAGCUUUCUUUUUCUCUGUGAAUAUUUGUAAUAUAGCUUACAUAAUUUGCAUCAAACAGGUUGCACUUAGCAGGUGUUUAUUUAAGGAAUGGUUUGACAAUUUGAAAAAAAAAAGUAGCUACUCGCUUUCUUUCAGAACUGACACAGAUCACAUCUCUCAUGGGAAUCUACCAAACAGCUGUGCAGCUGUGUUUUUGACCAAAGAGACCAAAGGUAUUGAAUUAUUCAUUUAAGCAGCAAAGCGGCAGCUCUGCUCGGCUCAGUACAUCCUUGAAACAUGAAGACUGCGCAGUGUACUACAAAGUGUUACAAGCUAUUAAAUACACACAUGUGCUUAUUCUAUUGAAUCAGCUUUUAUUUAACUAAAUUUAAUUAAGUUCCUGUUUAUGUUGUUGUUUGUUCAUAAAAACUGUAUGUAGGCUGUCAACUUGUUUGAUCAGCUUCAAAAGUUUGGUAAGCGCUGUUUUAACAGGAUUUAAGGAGCGAUGACACACAAAAUAUCAUGUUUCACCAGACUGUUAAUGAGGGCCUGUUGCUUGUGUUGUCAAAUAAAAUUCCCAGAAGCCUCUGCAAUAUUAAAGGUCUGAAAAACACAACUGGGCUUGUGGUGAGGAUGCAAAUCUCUAAAUAAAAACUCAAAUCCA